rfam:Daucus carota subsp. sativus cultivar DH1 chromosome 9, whole genome shotgun sequence.
AGCAAAAUGAUGAGUAAUUGCAGCUGAAGCCUCGUGUUGAGCUUUUAUCAAACCUUUAUGGUCUUCAAAGUUCUCUGAUUGCU